rnacentral:misc_RNA from 1 species
GUGGAGGCCGAGCGGCUG